AUUGAACGCUGGCGGCAGGCUUAACACAUGCAAGUCGAACGAUGAUUAUCUAGCUUGCUAGAUAUGAUUAGUGGCGGACGGGUGAGUAACAUUUAGGAAUCUGCCUAGUAGUGGGGGAUAGCUCGGGGAAACUCGAAUUAAUACCGCAUACGACCUACGGGUGAAAGGGGGCGCAAGCUCUUGCUAUUAGAUGAGCCUAAAUCAGAUUAGCUAGUUGGUGGGGUAAAGGCCCACCAAGGCGACGAUCUGUAACUGGUCUGAGAGGAUGAUCAGUCACACCGGAACUGAGACACGGUCCGGACUCCUACGGGAGGCAGCAGUGGGGAAUAUUGGACAAUGGGGGCAACCCUGAUCCAGCCAUGCCGCGUGUGUGAAGAAGGCCUUUUGGUUGUAAAGCACUUUAAGCAGGGAGGAGAGGCUAAUGGUUAAUACCCAUUAGAUUAGACGUUACCUGCAGAAUAAGCACCGGCUAACUCUGUGCCAGCAGCCGCGGUAAUACAGAGGGUGCGAGCGUUAAUCGGAAUCACUGGGCGUAAAGCGAGUGUAGGUGGCUCAUUAAGUCACAUGUGAAAUCCCCGGGCUUAACCUGGGAACUGCAUGUGAUACUGGUGGUGCUAGAAUAUGUGAGAGGGAAGUAGAAUUCCAGGUGUAGCGGUGAAAUGCGUAGAGAUCUGGAGGAAUACCGAUGGCGAAGGCAGCUUCCUGGCAUAAUAUUGACACUGAGAUUCGAAAGCGUGGGUAGCAAACAGGAUUAGAUACCCUGGUAGUCCACGCCGUAAACGAUGUCUACUAGCCGUUGGGGUCCUUGAGACUUUAGUGGCGCAGUUAACGCGAUAAGUAGACCGCCUGGGGAGUACGGCCGCAAGGUUAAAACUCAAAUGAAUUGACGGGGGCCCGCACAAGCGGUGGAGCAUGUGGUUUAAUUCGAUGCAACGCGAAGAACCUUACCUGGUCUUGACGUAGUGAGAAUCCUGCAGAGAUGCGGGAGUGCCUUCGGGAAUUCACAUACAGGUGCUGCAUGGCUGUCGUCAGCUCGUGUCGUGAGAUGUUGGGUUAAGUCCCGCAACGAGCGCAACCCUUUUCCUUAUUUGCCAGCGGGUUAAGCCGGGAACUUUAAGGAUACUGCCAGUGACAAACUGGAGGAAGGCGGGGACGACGUCAAGUCAUCAUGGCCCUUACGACCAGGGCUACACACGUGCUACAAUGGUAGGUACAGAGGGUUGCUACACAGCGAUGUGAUGCUAAUCUCAAAAAGCCUAUCGUAGUCCGGAUUGGAGUCUGCAACUCGACUCCAUGAAGUCGGAAUCGCUAGUAAUCGCAGAUCAGAAUGCUGCGGUGAAUACGUUCCCGGGCCU
rnacentral:rRNA from 1 species